rnacentral:rRNA from 1 species
AUUGAACGCUGGCGGCAGGCCUAACACAUGCAAGUAGAACGAGCGGCGGACGGGUGAGUAAUGUCUGGGAAACUGCCCGCCAGAGGGGGAUAAAUCCUCGAAACGGUAGCUAAUACCCCAUACAAUCGGAUAAGCCCAGAUGGGAUUAUCUCGUAGGUGAGGUAAUGGUUCACCCAGGCGACGAUCCCUAGCUGGGCUUAGAGGAUGAUCAGCCACACUGGGACUGAGACACGGACCAGCCUCCUACGGGAGGCAGCAGUGGGGAAGAUUGCACAAUGGGGGUAAGCCUGAUGAAGCCAUGCCGCGUGUAUGAAGAAGGCCUUAGAGUUGUAAAGUACGUUGAGCUGAGAGGCGGUACCCCCAGAAGAAGCACCGGCUAACUCCGGGCCAGCAGCCGCGGUAAUAC